rnacentral:rRNA from 1 species
UUUGGACAAUGGGCGAAAGCCUGAUCCAGCAAUGCCGCGUGUGUGAAGAAGGCCUUCGGGUUGUAAAGCACUUUUGUCCGGAAAGAAAUCCUUGGCUCUAAUACAGUCGGGGGAUGACGGUACCGGAAGAAUAAGCACCGGCUAACUACGUGCCAGCAGCCGCGGUAAUACGUAGGGUGCAAGCGUUAAUCGGAAUUACUGGGCGUAAAGCGUGCGCAGGCGGUUUGCUAAGACCGAUGUGAAAUCCCCGGGCUCAACCUGGGAACUGCAUUGGUGACUGGCAGGCUAGAGUAUGGCAGAGGGGGGUAGAAUUCCACGUGUAGCAGUGAAAUGCGUAGAGAUGUGGAGGAAUACCGAUGGCGAAGGCAGCCCCCUGGGCCAAUACUGACGCUCAUGCACGAAAGCGUGGGGAGCAAACAGGAUUAGAUACCCUGGUAGUCCACGCCCUAAACGAUGUCAACUAGUUGUUGGGGAUUCAUUUCCUUAGUAACGUAGCUAACGCGUGAAGUUGACCGCCUGGGGAGUACGGUCGCAAGAUUAAAACUCAAAGGAAUUGACGG